rnacentral:rRNA from 1 species
UACGAAGGGGGCUAGCGUUGCUCGGAAUCACUGGGCGUAAAGGGUGCGUAGGCGGUUGGGUAAGUCUGACGUGAAAUCUCCGGGCCUAACCCGGAAACUGCGUUGGAUACUAUCCGGCUAGAGGAAUGGAGGGGAGACUGGAAUACUUGGUGUAGCAGCGAAAUGCGUAGAUAUCAAGUGGAACACCAGUGGCGAAGGCGAGUCUCUGGACAUUUCCUGACGCUGAGGCACGAAAGCCAGGGGAGCAAACGGG